UACCUCUGUGUGAUGACUCGCACUGGGCUCUGAAUCAGUCUGAAGUUAAAAGUGCAGCUCUGGCCUGACAAGCCUGAGUUUCUGAAGAGGAA
ensembl:snoRNA Small nucleolar RNA SNORD88